rnacentral:lncRNA from 1 species
ACUGUUGGACAAAGACGCCCACAUCUUGCCAGCAGAAGCCUGCACCUUUUGCCAGAGACAUGUGUGGGUGCGUCCCUACCCGAUACAGAGACUGCUGCUCGGUAGUCAGGGUCACGGCAAAGGCAGCAAAAUCCCUUGAUCCCUUGAUCCUCUAAGCAGGGAAUGGGUUGCCCCUGUGUCAACUAAAAAGUCAUAGGGAUCACCAUUAAUAUGCAAAGUGACUUUGGGCACCUGGGAAGGGGAGGAGAUGGCAGGCAGUAUGAAAGCGGUGUCCUCAGGGCUUACCUCUUCUGGUGGGGAUCGUCAGUCUUUCUUUUCUCGUUGCCAUGGUGUGCUGACUGUUACUCCAGCUGGGGGGCCUGAAUCCCAGCCCCCAUCAUCUUCCUAUAUUCCCUCCUUGUUGGGACAUUUCUUGCCCAAUGUCCUGUUUUUCCACAGUGAAAACAUGCAUCGUGGUCUCCUUCUCCUCGGUCUCUUCCUCUUCCUUGGUAGCCUCCUCAUCUGCCACGGCCCCUUCCUCUUCCUCUUUGAUAGAACUGGAGCUGGGCCAUCUGGAGCUGGUGUAGCUGAUGGCUUUCUUUUCAUGCCUUUCUCUCGUUCUUUGAUGCUAAUUGUCUCUCAGCAUGAUAAGCAUGGCCACACACCUCUGUCAACCAGGCGAUGUCCCAGCCGAUGCAUGAGUUUUUUUUUACCAUGCUCCCUAUUUCGAGAAGCAGGCCAUCCACGAAAAGACGGGUAAGUUGAGUUUCAUAUACUGAGCCAUUGUCAAUAGGGGCAGGCAAGGGCAGGCCACUGAGGUUACUGCAGAGGGGGGCCAGUCUUUCCAAGAAAUCAUUAAAUGUUUCUCCAGGCUUUUGCUUGGUUUGUCUCAAGGUGAACCUGUCCAUUUUAGGGGGAUACUUUGCUUCUAUUCUCUGGCAAAUGGUGUUUAGCUGGUUCUGAUAGCCACUGCCUAUGGCAGCGUCAUACACCACUCCUGGUUUUAACGUGUCACGCACAUCGCAGUAGUCAAGCUUCAGGGUCUU